GCCUGGGUGGCUUAGUCGGUUAAGCAUCUGCUUUCAGCUUAGGUCGUGAUCUCUCGGUUCGUGAGUUCAAACCUCACAUCGGGCU
rnacentral:tRNA from 1 species